rnacentral:rRNA from 1 species
AGAACUUGAAACCGUGUGCUUACAAGUAGUCAGAGCCCGUUAAUGGGUGAUGGCGUGCCUUUUGUAGAAUGAACCGGCGAGUUACGAUCUGAUGCAAGGUUAAGCAGAAAAUGUGGAGCCGUAGCGAAAGCGAGUCUGAAUAGGGCGAAUGAGUAUUUGGUCGUAGACCCGAAACCAGGUGAUCUACCCUUGGUCAGGUUGAAGUUCAGGUAACACUGAAUGGAGGACCGAACCGACUUACGUUGAAAAGUGAGCGGAUGAACUGAGGGUAGCGGAGAAAUUCCAAUCGAACUUGGAGAUAGCUGGUUCUCUCCGAAAUAGCUUUAGGGCUAGCCUCAAGUGAUGAUUAUUGGAGGUAGAGCACUGUUUGGACGAGGGGCCCCUCUCGGGUUACCGAAUUCAGACAAACUCCGAAUGCCAAAUAAUUUAACUUGGGAGUCAGAAUGUGGGUGAUAAGGUCCAUAUUCGAAAGGGAAACAGCCCAGACCACCAGCUAAGGUCCCAAAAUAUAUGUUAAGUGGAAAAGGAUGUGGCGUUGCCCAGACAACUAGGAUGUUGGCUUAGAAGCAGCCAUCAUUUAAAGAGUGCGUAAUAGCUCACUAGUCGAGUGACACUGCGCCGAAAAUGUACCGGGGCUAAACAUAUUACCGAAGCUGUGGAUUGUCCUUUGGACAAUGGUAGGAGAGCGUUCUAAGGGCGUUGAAGCAUGAUCGCAAGGACAUGUGGAGCGCUUAGAAGUGAGAAUGCCGGUGUGAGUAGCGAAAGACGGGUGAGAAUCCCGUCCACCGAUUGACUAAGGUUUCCAGAGGAAGGCUCGUCCGCUCUGGGUUAGUCGGGUCCUAAGCUGAGGCCGACAGGCGUAGGCGAUGGAUAACAGGUUGAUAUUCCUGUACCACCAUUAUUCGUUUUAAGCGAUGGGGGGACGCAGUAGGAUAGGCGAAGCGUGCUGUUGGAGUGCACGUCCAAGCAGUGAGAUUGAGUGUUAGGCAAAUCCGGCACUCUUAAGAUUGAGCUGUGAUGGGGAGAGGAACUUGUUCCUCGAGUCGUUGAUUUCACACUGCCGAGAAAAGCCUCUAGCUAGAAUAACGGUGCCCGUACCGCAAACCGACACAGGUAGUCAAGAUGAGAAUUCUAAGGUGAGCGAGCGAACUCUCGUUAAGGAACUCGGCAAAAUGACCCCGUAACUUCGGGAGAAGGGGUGCUCUUUGAGGUUCACGCUUCGAAGAGCCGCAGUGAAUAGGCCCAAGCGACUGUUUAUCAAAAACACAGGUCUCUGCUAAACCGUAAGGUGACGUAUAGGGGCUGACGCCUGCCCGGUGCUGGAAGGUUAAGAGGAGUGGUUAGCGCAAGCGAAGCUACGAAUCGAAGCCCCAGUAAACGGCGGCCGUAACUAUAACGGUCCUAAGGUAGCGAAAUUCCUUGUCGGGUAAGUUCCGACCCGCACGAAAGGCGUAACGAUUUGGGCACUGUCUCAACGAGAGACUCGGUGAAAUCAUAGUACCGGUGAAGAUGCCGGUUACCCGCGACAGGACGGAAAGACCCCGUGGAGCUUUACUGUAGCCUGAUAUUGAAAUUCGGUACAGUUUGUACAGGAUAGGUAGGAGCCUUAGAAGCGUGAGCGCUAGCUUACGUGGAGGCAUUGGUGGGAUACUACCCUAAUUGUAUUGGAUUUCUAACCCGCAGCACUUAUCGUGCUGGGAGACAGUGUCAGGCGGGCAGUUUGACUGGGGCGGUCGCCUCCUAAAGAGUAACGGAGGCGCUCAAAGGUUCCCUCAGAAUGGUUGGAAAUCAUUCAUAGAGUGUAAAGGCAUAAGGGAGCUUGACUGCGAGACCUACAAGUCGAGCAGGGUCGAAAGACGGACUUAGUGAUCCGGUGGUUCCGCAUGGAAGGGCCAUCGCUCAACGGAUAAAAGCUACCCCGGGGAUAACAGGCUUAUCUCCCCCAAGAGUUCACAUCGACGGGGAGGUUUGGCACCUCGAUGUCGGCUCAUCGCAUCCUGGGGCUGUAGUCGGUCCCAAGGGUUGGGCUGUUCGCCCAUUAAAGCGGUACGCGAGCUGGGUUCAGAACGUCGUGAGACAGUUCGGUCCCUAUCCGUCGUGGGCGUAGGAAAUUUGAGAGGAGCUGUCCUUAGUACGAGAGGACCGGGAUGGACAUACCUCUGGUGUACCAGUUGUCGUGCCAACGGCAUAGCUGGGUAGCUAUGUAUGGACGGGAUAAGUGCUGAAAGCAUCUAAGCAUGAAGCCCCCCUCGAGAUGAGAUUUCCCAACUUCGGUUAUAAG